ACACGACUACAUUAGAUACCCGUGUAGUCCUAGCCGUAAACGNUACUCGCUAGGUGUCGGCCACGGUGCGACCGUUGUCGGUGCCGUAGGGAAGCCGUGAAGCGAGCCACCUGGGAAGUACGGCCGCAAGGCUGAAACUUAAAGGAAUUGGCGGGGGAGCACAACAACGGGUGGAGCUUGCGGUUUAAUUGGAUUCAACGCCGGAAAUCUUACCGGGACCGACAGCAACAUGAAGGCCAGGCUGAAGACUUUGCCGGAUUAGCUG
rnacentral:rRNA from 1 species